GGUCAUGAGUGCCAGCGUCAAGCCCCGGCUUGCUGGCCGGCAACCCUCCUCCGCGGUGGGGUGCUCCGGGUGACGACCUGGCGCGCAUCGAAGCCAGAUGCGGCAAGUGCGGAUU
rnacentral:ncRNA from 2 species